UACAAAAUCCCAUCCUUAUUCAGGUAAAACACCAUGGCCAACCUCCGCAGAGUCUUUCGGUCCUUUUUCGAUGCUCCCUCAGGAUACUCUUGAGUCUCCAGAUAGCGCUUGAUAUCAUAAUACCACGGCUUCUCAUCAUCAAGCGCUGUAUCAACAGCAAACACAUAAGCCGGUCUAUCCAGACGGCCUACUUCCACACUGGGGAACU
rnacentral:lncRNA from 1 species